rnacentral:tRNA from 2 species
GGGGUCGUGGCGCAAUUGGUUAGCGCACUGGACUGUCGAUCCGGGGGUUGCGGGUUCGAGCCCCGUCGACCCCGCCA